GAAAUGCGAUAAGUAAUGUGAAUUGCAGAAUUCCGUGAAUCAUCGAAUCUUUGAACGCACAUUGCGCCCUCUGGCAUUCCGGGGGGCAUGCCUGUCCGAGCGUCAUUACGCACCCUCAAGCCCGGCUUGUGUGAUGGGCCCCGGCGUCUCGUUCGCGAGACGGGCUCGAAAGGCAGCGGCGGCGUCGACCCGAUGAGCCCGAGCGUAUGGGGACUUCUGUCACACGUUCGCGGUGCGGACCGGCGCCUGCUUUGACUUUUCUGAUUAUCCAGGUUGACCUCGGAUCAGGUAGGGAUACCCGCUGAACUUAAGC
rnacentral:misc_RNA from 1 species